rnacentral:tRNA from 1 species
GGUGGCUCAGUGGUAGAGUGCUUGCCUUGCAUGCAUGAGGCCCUGGGUUCGAGUGCUCAGCACCA